CGAAGGCAGUCUUGAUGUUUUGGGCUUACUGAGACAUUAUUUUGACAGUGGUUUUUAAAAAAAGACGAUAUUUCAACAGAACCCACUUUCCACGUCCUUCAUCAGCAGUUCCAAACAUAAUACAGCAUUCCUUAUAGACUGUGCAUUACACGCAGGCGAAGGGAACAGGACUUUGUGAGGAUAAAGGAUAUUUCACAUCAUAAAGACUUGUGGGUUCGACAGGCAUAUGGCUAGGAAAUUUCUUUGAGGACCAAAAUCUACGUCAGACACUAAUCAGGAUUAUCUACUACGAGUGUAAGAGGAUACAGUUCAUUUAACAGACGGCUCAGAAAAUAAAGACGAUAAUUAAUUGUUCGUUGAUUGUAACGUGUUAUGAAUAUUCUGUGGAUACAUGUGGUGACUUCUUAACGGCGGAAUUCACAAGAUGGAGGCUGUUACAGGAAUCCGAUUUUCACUCAUCCGAUUCUGUCUGAUCGUCAUAUCGUGUCUGUUAGUUGUGAACGCUGCCCCUCCCAUAUUUGACAACGUGAACCCUGGAGACAUCCUGUCCGUGGACGAAAACGCCCCCCUCAAUCACGUGAUCUUCGCAGUGUCCGCCUCUGACCCUGACACAGCUGUGGCGGUGACCUUCACCUUAACUAAUGACGGCGGAGGGCCCUUCGACAUAGACCCUGCUUCUGGAGACUUUAAAGUCAAUGCUGCCAAUACGCUGAAUUUUGAAAGUCCCGGACCCACUUCGUAUA